GACGAACGCUGGCGGCAUGCCUAACACAUGCAAGUCGAGCGAGUAGAUCCCUUCGGGGUGAAGCUAGCGGCGGACGGGUGAGUAACACGUGGGCAACCUGCCUCAUAGAGGGGAAUAGCCUUCCGAAAGGAAGAUUAAUACCGCAUAAGAUUGUAGUACCGCAUGGUAUAGCAAUUAAAGGAGCAAUCCGCUAUGAGAUGGGCCCGCGGCGCAUUAGCUAGUUGGUGAGGUAACGGCUCACCAAGGCGACGAUGCGUAGCCGACCUGAGAGGGUGAUCGGCCACAUUGGGACUGAGACACGGCCCAGACUCCUACGGGAGGCAGCAGUGGGGAAUAUUGCACAAUGGGGGAAACCCUGAUGCAGCAAUGCCGCGUGAGUGAUGACGGCCUUCGGGUUGUAAAGCUCUGUCUUCGGGGACGAUAAUGACGGUACCCGAGGAGGAAGCCACGGCUAACUACGUGCCAGCAGCCGCCGUAA
rnacentral:rRNA from 1 species